rnacentral:rRNA from 1 species
UACGUAGGGUGCAAGCGUUACUCGGAAUUACUGGGCGUAAAGCGUGCGUAGGUGGUUUGUUAAGUCUGAUGUGAAAUCCCCGGGCUCAACCUGGGAAUGGCAUUGGAUACUGGCAGGCUAGAGUGCGGUAGAGGGUGGUGGAAUUCCCGGUGUAGCAGUGAAAUGCGUAGAGAUCGGGAGGAACAUCUGUGGCGAAGGCGGCCACCUGGACCAGCACUGACACUGAGGCACGAAAGCGUGGGGAGCAAACAGG